rnacentral:rRNA from 1 species
GACGAACGUUGGCGGCGUGCCUAAUACAUGCAAGUCAACUGAAAUACCGGUAGCAAUACUGGUAUGGAGGUGGCGCACGGGUGAGUAACACGUAGGUAAUCUGCCUUCAGGUCUGACAUAACCCAUCGAAAGGUGAGCUAAUAUCAGAUGAUGCAGCGGCUUGACAUCAAGACAGUUGUUAAAGCUUCGGCGCCUGAAGAUGAGCCUGCGUCUGAUUAGCUAG